CAGACUUUGGUUGUUCCACGUCAUUUUGGCCUUGCUUCGUUGGUUGACAGGUGAAUUUUGGGUUUGCUUCAUUUGUUGAAUGGGUGCCACUUUCCUCUGCCUUCAUCUCAGACUGGCACCGACCCGAGUAGAGUCCAGCUCCGAACCCGUUCACGUUUUUCUACCCCGAAUGGACAUUCAAUUUGUUGUGGACAAUGUGAACACCAUUAUUGCUCCUACUUUGGUUGGCGAGGACCCAACUCAGUAGAAUGCUAUUGACAACUUAAUGGUUCAACAACUUGAUGGAACUGUUAAUGAAUGGGGUUGGUGCAAGCAAAAGGCUUUAAUAUGUCGAAUUGGUUGCCUCGAGCAGCCAGUGUUAACAUGCAAAGCCGGGUGGGGAUUCCCAUGAUUUGUCAGUGUUGGGUUACAAGUGUGAAGUGAAGUUCCACAUCGGGUAGAAAUGGAAAGGUUGAGCACCAUAUAAGUGAGGAGAAGACCCAUAAACUUGAGCCUUAAGGUUUUGGGUUAGAGUGUGGUGUCAGGUCUCCUUAUGUGGUGGCUCAUGGUCCACAGGUGUACCCCUCAAAUCUCCCCAACAAUUGGUAUCAGAGCCGAUGGUUCAAGUUGGUGAUCGGCUCAGACGAGUAUGCAAGUACCGCAGGUGGCCAGAAUGGCUAGCGGCACAGCGUGCCCCGCAGGUGAAGCGGGGUGGCCAAAAUGGCUAGCGGGCAGGGCAAGUACUGCAGGUGGCCAUGGCUAUACUUGUGGAUGAUAAAGACUUCCGCUCGAGGGGGAGACUACCAUGUGGAAGAGACUCACACUUGAGGGGGAGAUGUGUUGGGUUACAAGUGUGAGGUGAAGUCCCACAUCGGGUAGAAAUGGAAAAGUUGAGCACCAUAUA